rnacentral:rRNA from 1 species
UACAGAGGGUGCGAGCGUUGUUCGGAAUUAUUGGGCGUAAAGGGCGCGUAGGCGGCGCCACAAGUCACCUGUGAAAACUCUGGGCUCAACCCAGAGCCUGCAGGCGAAACUGUGGUGCUGGAGUAUGGGAGAGGUGCGUGGAAUUCCCGGUGUAGCGGUGAAAUGCGUAGAUAUCAGGAGGAACACCGGUGGCGAAGGCGGGUCUCUGGGCCAAAACUGACGCUGAGGAGCGAAAGCGUGGGGAGCGAACAGG